UUGUCCUACGGGAGGCAGCAGGGGGGAAUAUUGGACAAUGGGGGAAACCCUGAUCCAGCGACGCCGCGUGAGUGAAGAAGUAUUUCGGUACGUAAAGCUCUAUCAGCAGGAAAGAAAAUCACGGUACCUGACCAAGAAGCCCCGGCUAACUACGUGCCAGCAGCCGCGGUAAUACGUAGGGGGCAAGCGUUAUCCGGAUUUACUGGGUGUAAAGGGAGCGUAGGCGGCUGUGUAAGCCAGAAGUGAAAGCCCGAG
rnacentral:rRNA from 1 species